UAUUCACUUCACACGGAUUGCCCUUUCCAUUCCCUCCUCUCUCUCACAACUCACAUCAACUUUAUCAGAUCAACUUUCUCCUUCCUUUCUCUCUCUUUCUCUCAGAUCUAGAUCGGAAGUGUUUGAACCACCGGUGGAGGAAACUAGGGUUUCGUCGUCCGUGAUGAAAGAUGUCUGGAGUGCUGAUGGUUUGAGAUGAAAUCAGAUGAUGAAAACACACAGGGUUGAACACCGAUUUGAAGAAACCCUAACUGAAGGUUUCGUCAGGUCAUAUCUGCUGUGGUUUCUUUCGGCUUUUCUUCCACAUCAACGAUUAGCAAAAAGCUGCAGUUCAACCAGGGGAAAAUAUAUGUUGUAUGGUGGGUUGGAGAGGUGGGGAGUCAACUGAUGAUGGUGAAACUACAUAGGGUCAAGUACCCUGUGUUAUUGGGAUUCUAAUGGGGCCUCUGGUGUGGAAGAAGAAGUUACAAAAGUAAUAAUAAGAGCAUUCCUGGAUGAGAAAGGUCUGACAUGGCAGCCACAUCAGCAAGUGCGUUCUCAAUCAGAUCAACCAUAUCCCAUGGCUCGAAAGCUAGCUCGCUUUCACAGUCGAAGACAUGUGGCAUGAAUAUCAGUUUCAACUCUCAAAACAAUAUCAAGAGUUUCACAGGCCUCACGUCAUCCUUCUUAGCCAAGGAAAAACAAACGCUUUUGAUGAGCUUUAUAGUUGAUGAUACAAACGGUGAAACGCAAGAUGAUGACAUCACCAGCGAAGAUAGCGAGUCAGAUGAUGCCGAUGAUCAUUUCGAUCCCGUUUGUGCGAUAUGUGAUAAUGGUGGCAGGCUUACAUGAGUCAAAACGAAUAUAAAUGUGAAAAUUGUCAGUAUAGUCUGCACCAGUACUUUGUCUGUGGUGAACUAGGGUCUUCUGAUAAAUCUGCAAAUACAGAGGUUUUUCGUUGUAGUUCCGCAAUGUGUGGCCACUUUUAUCACCCGAAAUGCGUAGCCAAGCUGCUCCAGAAAAAUGAUAAGACCGAUCGACAGAAGCUUCAAGAAAAAAUUGUUGUAGGGUAACCGUUUAUAUUUCCAGCUCACAAAUGUGCCAUCUGUAAGCGAACCGAAAACGAAAAAGUCGAAGAUUUGCAGUUUGCAGUUUGUUGAUGCAGAGGUUGAAGGGUUUUGUCCCAAUUCAAUAGAAAUGUUAUGUACAAAGAUCUGAUACGCUGACUACGUGAGUGAUAUUAAUUUUUAUAAUUGGCAUGUGGGACUUCUUGAUUACAGUUAUGAGAUGCAUGGACGUGUGAUCUUGGUCGUGUCUCCGAGAGCUUAACCAUCUGUAUAUGGUGUGAAUGUUUUGGCGCGUACUUUUGCAGCAUGGUUCGGGUAAUAACAGGUCUGAACCGAAAGAUCUGAGAAACCGUUGGAAUGGGAACAGAUGCUCGCAACUAGAAUCAUGAUCUGAUUAGAUGACACUGACUGUCUCCUGCAGUCAACUCAGCCACAAGAUAUUGUUUCUCAGGCGAGGCAGAGGCUGUAAAUUCUUCUAGAAAGCUUGGCGGCAGCCCUUCAGUUAUUUGUAUGUUACCAUAGAUUAGUGUAUGAGGACAAUGAAGGAGACAUGUGCUUGCUGGUGGUGAAUAGAGAUUUUUUUUUCCUA